CUGCUUUGGCAGCAUCUAUACUAAAAUUGUAAUGAUACCAAAAAGAUUAUCAAGGGCCCUAUGCAACGAUGACAUGCAAAUUCUUGAACAUUAACACUAUGGA